rnacentral:rRNA from 1 species
UGGAUCCAGACUUUGAUCCUGGCUCAGGACGAACGCUGGCGGCGUGCCUAACACAUGCAAGUCGAACGGAGCUGAUGGAAGCUUGCUUCCGGCAGCUUAGUGGCGGACGGGUGAGUAACACGUGAGCAACCUGCCUUUCAGAGGGGAAUAAUGUUUGGAAACGAACACUAAUACCGCAUAACAUAUAUUUGCUGCAUGGCGAAUAUAUCAAAGGAGCAAUCCGCUGAAAGAUGGGCUCGCGUCUGAUUAGCCAGUUGGCGGGGUAACGGCCCACCAAAGCGACGAUCAGUAGCCGGACUGAGAGGUUGAACGGCCACAUUGGGACCGAGACACGGCCCAGACUCCUACGGGAGGCAGCAGUGGGGGAUAUUGCACAAUGGGGGAAACCCUGAUGCAGCAACGCCGCGUGUGGGAAGAAGGUCUUCGGAUUGUAAACCAUUGUCCUCUGUGACGAUAAUGACGGUAGCAGAGGAGGAAGCCACGGCUAACUACGUGCCAGCAGCCGCGGUAAUACGUAGGUGGCGAGCGUUGUCCGGAUUUACUGGGUGUAAAGGGAGCGUAGGCGGGAGAGCAAGUCAGAAGUGAAAUCCAUCGGCUUAACCGAUGAACUGCUUUUGAAACUGUCCUUCUUGAGUGAAGUAGAGGUAGGUGGAAUUCCCGGUGUAGCGGUGAAAUGCGUAGAUAUCGGGAGGAACAUCGGUGGCGAAGGCGACCUACUGGGCUUUUACUGACGCUGAGGCUCGAAAGCAUGGGUAGCAAACAGGAUUAGAUACCCUGGUAGUCCAUGCCGUAAACGAUGAUUACUAGGUGUGGGGGAGCUGACCUCUUCCGUGCCGCAGCAAACGCAAUAAGUAAUCCACCUGGGGAGUACGGCCGCAAGGUUGCAACUCAAAGGAAUUGACGGA